CAACUACUCCCUUCGUCUCAAAAAAAUUGUCUUAAAUUUGUCUAGAUAUGGUGUAUCUAGUCAUGUUUUAAUAUUUAGAUACAUCUAUUUUAAAUAAAACUACGACAAAAAAUUUAAGACGGAGUGAGUAUAAU
rnacentral:pre_miRNA from 1 species